GGUAUCCAAAGGACUUCAUCAAAAUGCAGGCCUGGAUGAAGAAAUACACGAACGCUAAGGAAGCCAUGGCACUACUCAAAGAGUCACCGAAUAACAAACCCUGAGAAAGGAAGGAAAGUAUUUGAGGACAAGAGGGGUGAAUCAAGAUGUGAAGGCCGUCGAAGUGGGAAAAAGUUGCGGCAAUCAUGGACUCCUUACAAUAACCAAUCUAGAAUGCCACUCUAAAAUCAUCAAUCUUAAACUCCACCUCGAAAAUUUGAGACCUAUACUCCUUUUAAUGCACCUCAUGCCCAAAUACUCAUAGGGAUAGUAAGGCUAGGACGAUCUGCCACCACCCA
rnacentral:lncRNA from 1 species